rnacentral:tRNA from 1 species
UGAGCCUAGCUAGACGCCGCGCAAAUGACUGUUAAUCAUUGGGUCCCAGGUUCGAGUCCUGGUCGCGGAGCCA